rnacentral:rRNA from 1 species
UCUACAGGCUUAACACAUGCAAGUCGAGGGGCAGCAUGGUCUUAGCUUGCUAAGGCCGAUGGCGACCGGCGCACGGGUGAGUAACGCGUAUCCAACCUGCCUUACACUCUUGGACAGCCUUCUGAAAGGGAGAUUAAUACAAGAUGUUAUCAUGAGUAAGCAUUUUCGCAUGAUUAAAGGUUUACCGGUGUAAGAUGGGGAUGCGUUCCAUUAGAUAGUAGGCGGGGUAACGGCCCACCUAGUCUUCGAUGGAUAGGGGUUCUGAGAGGAAGGUCCCCCACAUUGGAACUGAGACACGGUCCAAACUCCUACGGGAGGCAGCAGUGAGGAAUAUUGGUCAAUGGACGAGAGUCUGAACCAGCCAAGUAGCGUGAAGGAUGAAGGUUCUAUGGAUUGUAAACUUCUUUUAUACGGGAAUAAACGAAUCCACGCGUGGAUUUUUGCAUGUACCGUAUGAAUAAGGAUCGGCUAACUCCGUGCCAGCAGCCGCGGUAAUACGGAGGAUCCGAGCGUUAUCCGGAUUUAUUGGGUUUAAAGGGAGCGUAGAUGGGUUGUUAAGUCAGUUGUGAAAGUUUGCGGCUCAACCGUAAAAUUGCAAUUGAUACUGGCAGUCUUGAGUACAGUUGAGGUAGGCGGAAUUCGUGGUGUAGCGGUGAAAUGCUUAGAUAUCACGAAGAACUCCGAUUGCGAAGGCAGCUUACUAACCUGUAACUGACAUUGAUGCUCGAAAGUGUGGGUAUCAAACAGGAUUAGAUACCCUGGUAGUCCACACGGUAAACGAUGAAUACUCGCUGUAGGCGAUAUACAGUCUGCGGCCAAGCGAAAGCAUUAAGUAUUCCACCUGGGGAGUACGCCGGCAACGGUGAAACUCAAAGGAAUUGACGGGGGCCCGCACAAGCGGAGGAACAUGUGGUUUAAUUCGAUGAUACGCGAGGAACCUUACCCGGGCUUAAAUUGCAACCGAAUAUGGCGGAAACGCUAUAGCUAGCAAUAGCGGUUGUGAAGGUGCUGCAUGGUUGUCGUCAGCUCGUGCCGUGAGGUGUCGGCUUAAGUGCCAUAACGAGCGCAACCCUUGCCGAUAGUUACUAACAGGUCAUGCUGAGGACUCUGUCGGGACUGCCAUCGUAAGAUGUGAGGAAGGUGGGGAUGACGUCAAAUCAGCACGGCCCUUACGUCCGGGGCUACACACGUGUUACAAUGGGGGGUACAGAGGGCUGCUACCACGCAAGUGGAUGCCAAUCCCAAAAACCUCUCUCAGUUCGGAUUGAAGUCUGCAACCCGACUUCAUGAAGCUGGAUUCGCUAGUAAUCGCGCAUCAGCCACGGCGCGGUGAAUACGUUCCCGGGCCUUGUACACACCGCCCGUCAAGCCAUGGGAGCCGGGGGUACCUGAAGUGCGUAACCGCAAGGAGCGCCCUAGGGUAAAACUGGUGACU